rnacentral:tRNA from 1 species
CGGGGUGUGGCGCAGUCCGGAAGCGCACUUGCAUGGGGUGCAAGGGGCCGUUGGUUCGAAUCCAAUCACCCCGACCA